ensembl:lncRNA
GUUUCAGCAGAAAGAAAGAUGCUGUAGAAAUAAAUAAAGUUUGACUUUAAGUUUAAAUUGAAUGAGUGUUUCUUAUCCAUCACUACUGGCUCACAACAUGGACACUAUUAGAAACCAGCGUCUAAAAUAACAAACAUCUGUUAGACCCAGAGGUUUAUUGGAGACUGGCAUCAGUUUGAAGAAAAACUGAAACCCACUGACUUUUCUCUGACUUUUGUUUUGCUUUUUUUGUCUUCUAUAUAUAUAUAAUAAAAGUUCACAAACUGAUUAUUCAUUGACGCUGCACUUUCUAAUCAUUUUUAGUGAGUAAAAAUGAUGGAUGCUUAGAGCUAUUAUCAUAUUUAAAACAUUUUAGAUGAUUUAAAUGAAGUUAAAUAUAUUUGUUUUUCAUCAAAUCUUGACAUGAACCAUGUUCCUUCUCCUGACAUGUCAGAAACAUGUUUAGACACCAACGAUACCGACAUCCUACCUUAAUCCUUCUCUUUGUAACGUGCAAAACCUCCAGAGGUGAUGCUGGAUUUCUGAUGCACAUUCUUUGUUUCAGUCUUUGUGAAGAAUGAAAUCCUGCCAGAACAGAAACGACCUCAGUUCAUGUUUGACUUUCAUGUAGAAUCAUUACAGGAAACACAUUGAAAUAUUUUAGUGGAGUUUAGUUCAGCCCCUCAAAGCUAAAAUACAGUCAGUUUCUCUGUAAGACUCGGCUGCUGGUUGACAUGCAGCUGGGUCAGGAUUUCUUGUAAACGGACAGGAAGAGGAGGAAAUGGUCACGCGGACAUACCGCACCCAUACCCCCCCACACACACAGAGGCUCUCAAACUCAGCAGAGUUCGUCCGCGCUGACGGAGUUUCUUGGAGCAGACACAGACUUUGGAGUUUCCUCCGUUUUCUUCUUCUGUCCCGGUGAAGGCUGGAAGAAGAUGUGUGUGAGCUGAUCCUGUGGAUCCAGUCAAUCCAACAGCAUGGAUCAGUGGGAGGAGACACAGGAGGGAGCCCCUCCCUCGAAAAAAAGGAGAGGAGGUAACCAAGACAACCAGAACAAAGCUCAGAGGAACCGACCUGGACCUGGACCUGGACUUGGACCUGGACCUGGACCCAGCUGUGGGUUCUUCAGGAGUGACAAGUCAAAAGACUUAACUCUUCACUUCAAGUCCAUCAGUUCAUCAGUGAAACAAGGUCAACAGGUCACACAGAGAGUCCAGUCUGCAGCAUCCAGCUGUGGAUCCAUGAAGAGUGACCGGUCCAAAAAUUUUCCUCCAGAUUUCAGAACUGAACCAGAACCUUCAGACUCUCAGUAAGAACCAGUUUCUAGUUCAUGUCUCAGCAGAACAACAAUGUUCUCAUCCAGAACAUCAGCUGAUCAUCCAUGAAGAUCAACCAUCUGCUGAGACCGCUUUAGGUCUGAGAGGAAAGAAAAGAGUUGAACACAAAGCUCAGUCUGUGAGGAUGAAGCAAACAGCUGAACUUUUCUCUGAGCUCUAACAAGGAAUCCUGCCUUACCUGGUACCGAUUACCUGGAUCCGGUCUGUUGCCAGUAAGAAGCUUCAAUGGCAGGUUGAUAGAAAAACAUGUAGGACACCCCAGAUUGAGACUAUUACGCCGUUCACACUGGACGCAGAAGCGCCGUGGAG